CGACAGGCGCCCGCGCUCGCCGGCGCCAGCGCCCCGGGAGAGCGCGCGGGCUGCGGCUACGUACGGUUGUUGGGGUCGCUGGCGUGCUGGUUAAGCGGGAUGAUCUCCAUGCGCUGCUGCCCGUACAGGGACGUCAGCCAUUGAGAUGUGCAGGGUCUCCUGUGUUGAGCACACGGCAGUCCCAUCAUUCACUGGAUCGCUACUGCGUGAAAAAAGCUGCUCUUUUUCGAAGUCUGGGUAAGCCGAGGGAAGAAGAGAAAACAACUGGACAAGAACCACCCCUUCAGAAAGUCCUGGGUUCCCCUCACUAGUGCCUCACUGUCCCUUCCCCUGGGAAUUGGACCUUCUAUCCUCCCAAGAGUCUGCAAGAACAAGCAAGCCCAACCAAAGCUAGCCACAAUGGAAUAGCUCUACAUGGCGUCCAGUGAGCUUGGCAUCCCUUGUGGGUUCCAGAGACUGCCAGGAGGGAUCCGGGCAGCUCCCCUAGCAGGCGCUACCUGGCUCUGCCACAGCCUUCCUUUGGCUGCAUCUGUGUUGUAGCUGACUCACCCUCCGAGGUAGAUGGCUCCCAGUGCAUGGUGGCCUCCCCGGAGUGGAGCCAGGAGGGCUUUCCGUACCCCCUUACACAAGGGGGGCCUGAAGCCUCCCCUUUUGGACCACCUGAGAAAGCAGGAACCAGGUUCUCAGAGCAGCUCUGCAGGAAGACUGGGAAGCCCCUGCCCCUUCUCACCCCUUCGUCCAGCUGCAAUGAUGCCCUGCCCCCUCCUCUGGGCUAGGGAGCCAGGGUGACACUCAGGCUUGUUUUUAUUGGAUGAUUUGUGGCACCUCUAUGUUCUUCGGGUAUGAGACUUUCAGUUAAAGGAAAAAAAAAAAAACCACCUAUAUCAGUUUCCUUUUUGGAAAUGGAAAAUUGGUCUUUAAAACAAAAAUCAAGUCCCUGGGCAGGGUGCUGUGGGAAACCCGAGAGGUGUGCAUUGUGGUGCCCCACCUCACCUCCAUGAGUUCACACUGUGGAAGUCGCCCCAAGACCCGGUCUUGCUCUCCACUUCCCUGGGCUCUGCAGCCAGGGACUGGCUUGAAUGUCCAGCGAAGGGACCUGUCACUGAGCGCAGGAGAUGGUCAAGCAGUGCUCCACCGAUGAGCUGAGCCCUGAGGGCUCUGUGUCCAGGUGGACAGAGAAGACCUGAGCAAGGAAAGGCGUCCUAGGACGGGGGACCCUAGAAACAGUCUGGGAGGCCCGGGUGACUUCUCUUCAUCCCUAAGGAGGACUGUGGGCAGCCCUGAGUUCUAGUCCACAGAUACAGAAAGGCUCUCCUGAGGAGGUCUUGCCUAGAAGAUGGUCAGGUUCAAGGCUGAGAAUCAGCCCACAACGAAUACAGCUGAAAACCAGCUGAGGGCUCCAGGAGGCAGCAUCGGCACUGCAGAAAUCCCCGGAACGUGGUUUGGUCAACGUGGCAAAGCUUGACAACGCUUGGCAAUGGUGCUUCCUGGCUUUGGGUGAUACAGUCAUGAUUCUCUGCCUGCUCUUCUGUAAAGAACUAUGCAAGAAGAAACAAGAACACUGAAAAACUUAUAACUGAGGGAUCGUAUCUUUCUGAAGUCAAGGUCAUAGAGGAAACGUUGUAGAGUAUGAUUUCCUGAAUAGUCCUUGCUAGCCAACUCCAGCUGAUCUCCCUUCAAAAGAAAAACAGGGAACUACAAAAAGAACAACCUCAGAGUCUUGAGAUUCAAGGAAAGAAAUUAUUUUGCAUUGUCAAAACUGCCAGAUUCUUAAACAGAAUUUUUUAAAAAUGGCACUAGACAUAGGAUACAUGCUUACUGUCUCAUUACAAUACAAUUGACAAGUGACACUGGAAUACUGAAUGGAAAUUUAACAUUUUGAAGAUUCAGUGAUUAACAAUUUGACUUUUACAAGUCGGACCAUAUUCAUGGCAUUUCCUUCUCGUCUGUCCACACAGGCAAGCAUUUUUGAUCGAAGCAUCUGUUUGGGUGGACAAGUCUUUUAUUUGGCAGUGACCUAAGAGCAUGAGUAUAGAUUUCAAAAUCAAAUGCUUGCUCCAUAAUCAGAAGUUUUCAUACAGAAGCAGUGCUCACAAUCAUUUCCUCAAAACAAAUACCUGUCUUGGAGCCAGCAGGCAAGGCUGAGCAUUCCAGCCAACUUCUUCCAGGGGAUCCUCACUGGUGCUGUCACCCUGCAGGUCAGGUUCUCGGGCAGAUAUUUCCAUGGGUCGUUUUACAGGGCUAGGCCAAAAAAUGUUUUUGUAAGAAGAGUGCAAGCAUUUUCACAAUCAUUUUUGACUUUGUAAAAAUGAAUUGGAAAUAUGUGUACAUCUAGCAAUGUUGCAUUUCAUCUGUGUGGGUGCCAUGUUAUUUGCGAUAUGCUUUUUGUCAUUAUUGGUCUUCUAAUUUCCAGAGCUGUGAAAGUGUGUGUAGAGACCCCUUCACUCCAGACAAAAUGAAAUAGGGUUAAGAUGGUGUGAGUUUGACUCUCACUGUAUCUAUGUGUGUGUUGGGGGGGGGGUGUGUGGUGUGUUGGGGAGGAUCACUGUGAUUUGUCCCCAAAGUAUGAGCACUGUAUUAAGAAGAAUGACAGCUGAUUGUUAAUGUAGCCCAGGCAGAUCACUGAGAACUCUUUCAACUGCCUGUGACAGAAAUUAAAGUGGUAUUU